CUUUCGCUCUUUACCGGCUGUAGGUGGAAGCGAUCCCAGAAGCCCCAGCGCCACUGUGACGGCGGGCUCGUCUCACGAAUCGGGAAGAGGCGAGAAGGAAGCGAUGACAGCGGAGGAGCUGCGCAGGAGGAGACAGGCUUACUUCGACAGGCAGCAAGCUCAGUCCACCGCUCACCACAGCAGCUCCGCCGCAGAUCAUGUUGUUUUGCAGACGGAGGGAAGGACAGCGGGACCAAACCCAGCCAGUGACGGUCCAUCAGCGCCGGUGACGGACGCCCUCGACCCGACCUCUCUCUGGGAAUGAUGGGACUCACAUCUCCUCUCAGAACUGGCCCGGGACCGAUCAGGUCCUGCUGUGUAAUAAAGGGACAUUCGUUUAGCUUCGCUUCUCCUCUUUGAGUUGAACGAAGUGAAAGGGAAGCCUUUCCCGGUUCAUUCCUCUUUCUCAGACAGACACACGAGCGAGACGAGACCGCGGCGUGAGGAGGGAGCUGUCAGCGCUGGGAUCACUCCUGCAUUCUGGGACCAUUGGGCUUUACUGGCGUUACUGGAUCUCUGUUCUUCUCCUCUGUGGACUGUAGUGAAGACCUUCUGCUGGUCACCGGUGAGCGGCGGGUGACGUGCCCUAGGUAGACGGCUCAGUGAGGGCAGAUGCUGCUGUGGAGAUCAGUCUUCAUACAGAUUCAGACCUACACUUGUUUUAGUCGUUCAUCAGUCGUCCCUCUUUUGGAUCUAGGUUGUGAUUUCUCAUGGUUUUCACAUUCUUUUCUAUGAUUUCAUGCGUUUGGUGGCACAGCAGCGUUUCUGAACUAGUUUCACAUUCAGCAGUAGUUUUUAAGUGAUUGGUUAUUCUUGAACUCCUAUAUACACUUACUGUUUCUUAAAUAAAAACGUUUCUUUUCC